rnacentral:rRNA from 1 species
UACGAAGGGGGCUAGCGUUGUUCGGAAUUACUGGGCGUAAAGCGCACGUAGCGGGUGGUUAAGUCAGGGGUGAAAUCCCGGAGCUCAACUCCGGAACUGCCUUUGAUACUGGCCAUCUAGAGAUCGGAAGAGGUGAGUGGAAUUCCCAGUGUAGAGGUGAAAUUCGUAGAUAUCGGGAGGAACACCUGUGGCGAAAGCGGCGCACUGGACCACAACUGACGCUGAGGCGCGAAAGCUAGGGGAGCAAACAGG